CCAAGAGAGGGGAAGGUGGGGAAAGACAAAGGUGGAAAGGCUUCCCCAGCAGAAAAUGAGAGCAAAGGCAGCUUGUCCCUCUGUGGACACACUGGAGAGUGUUUCAGCCUCUUUCUGAAGGCUGGACCCUCCCCGGCUGCCUUAGAUCCCAAAUACUGUGUUGGUUGGUGGAAACGAGGGAAUGCCCUCGCCACAUGCUGCCAGGGUGAAAACGUCUCUGCCCUCCCAACCUUGGCAGCCUUUUCUUAAUCCUGGCUGUGGGAGUCUGACGCAGAGCUUUCUUCCCUGACAUCUCUGCCUGUCAGGAGUGCUGCCAAGGGAUCCGGGCUGCCCAGUCCAGUUCUUUCCUAGUGACCUUUCCCUCCUCUCCCCUCCAGACCCCGAAACUGUCUUCACCUUCAGACCCCUGAAUUGUCUUCACCUUCUCUCCACUCUUUCCUCAUGGCAGGAUGCGGUGUUCCAACAGGAUGAAGCCCUCUUCUCACCUCCUCCUCAUCCCACCUUCCAACUCAUGAGCCCAGAGGAUUCUCAGUGCCGCUUGCACUUCGUUAUAGAUGAAAAGGUACCAGGGUUGGAUGCACAUCUAUUUCCUGCUGCAAUUCUGACAGACAUAAUCACCAGUACAAGGGCUUUAGAACCUUCAUAGAACUUUAUAUUCUAGGUGAUAAUUGGAGGGUGAGGAGCUUGAUCAAGGUCAAAGAAAUCACUAGUGGGACAGCCAACAUUGGAAGUCAGAGGUGCCUCGCCUGCUCUGUGACUACCUUCUGAGAAGCAGAACCAGCAUGGCUUUUGAGUCAGACUGACCUGGCUUCAAGUUUUAGCUGGGUCUUUUCACUUUAGUUAUUUUCCUUCUGCAUUUAAAAUUUAAAAAAUAAAUAAAUAAAUAAAAAUUUUAA